GUGCAGCAGGCGAGAAUAGUCUACAAUGGACGAAAGUCUGAUAGUGCGACGCCGUGUGUGCGAUUAAUUCCUUCGGGAUGUAAAGCACUUUUCUAUGAGAUAAAAGCUCUUUAGGUUAAUAGCUUAUUGAGACGGAUAUUAUUAUAGGAAUAAGCUCCGGCUAACUCCGUGCCAGCAGCCGCGGUAAUACGGAAGGAGCGAGCGUUGUCCGGAUUUACUAGGCGUAAAGGGCUAGUAGGCGACUAAUUAAGUUAUAUGUUAAAUCCCACGGCUCAACUGUGGUCCUGCAUGUAAUACUGGUUAGAUAGAGUACUGUAGAGGAAGGCAGAAUUCCUGGAGUAGCGGUGGAAUGCGCAGAUAUCAGGAAGAAUACCAAAAGCGAAGGCAGCCUUCUGGGCAGUUACUGACGCUGAAUAGCGAAGGUGUGGGUAGCGAACAGGAUAGAUACCCGUGUAGU
rnacentral:rRNA from 1 species